CAGCUGCCGCGGUAAUACGGAGGGUGCAAGCGUUAUCCGGAUUUAUUGGGUUUAAAGGGUCCGUAGGCGGAUCUGUAAGUCAGUGGUGAAAUCUCACAGCUUAACUGUGAAACUGCCAUUGAUACUGCAGGUCUUGAGUAAAUUUGAAGUGGCUGGAAUAAGUAGUGUAGCGGUGAAAUGCAUAGAUAUUACUUAGAACACCAAUUGCGAAGGCAGGUCACUAAGAUUUAACUGACGCUGAUGGACGAAAGCGUGGGGAGCGAACAGGAUUAGAUACCCCCGUAGUCCCUGUCUCUUAUAC
rnacentral:rRNA from 1 species